GCCAGGUGCAGUGGCAUGUGCCUGUAGUCCCAGCUACUAGGGAGGCUGAGGCUGGAGAAUCGCUUGAGUCCAGGAGUUCUGGGUUGUUGUGCGCUAUGCCAAUUGGGUGUCCGCACUAAGUUUGGCAUCAAUAUGGUGACCUCGUGGGAGCAGGGAACCACCAAGUUGCCUAAUGAGGGGCGAACCAGCCCAGGUCGGAAACAUAGCAGGUCAAAACUCCCGUGCUGAUCAGUAGAGGGAUUGCGCCCAUGAAUAGCCACUGCACUCCAGCCUGGGCAACAUAGCAAGCCCCCGUCUCCU
rnacentral:SRP_RNA from 1 species